rnacentral:rRNA from 1 species
GGACGGGUGAGUAAUGCCUAGGAAAUUGCCCUGAUGUGGGGGAUAACCAUUGGAAACGAUGGCUAAUACCGCAUGAUGCCUACGGGCCAAAGAGGGGGACCUUCGGGCCUCUCGCGUCAGGAUAUGCCUAGGUGGGAUUAGCUAGUUGGUGAGGUAAGGGCUCACCAAGGCGACGAUCCCUAGCUGGUCUGAGAGGAUGAUCAGCCACACUGGAACUGAGACACGGUCCAGACUCCUACGGGAGGCAGCAGUGGGGAAUAUUGCACAAUGGGCGCAAGCCUGAUGCAGCCAUGCCGCGUGUGUGAAGAAGGCCUUCGGGUUGUAAAGCACUUUCAGUCGUGAGGAAGGUAGUGUAGUUAAUAGCUGCAUUAUUUGACGUUAGCGACAGAAGAAGCACCGGCUAACUCCGUGCCAGCAGCCGCGGUAAUACGGAGGGUGCGAGCGUUAAUCGGAAUUACUGGGCGUAAAGCGCAUGCAGGUGGUUUGUUAAGUCAGAUGUGAAAGCCCGGGGCUCAACCUCGGAAUUGCAUUUGAAACUGGCAGACUAGAGUACUGUAGAGGGGGGUAGAAUUUCAGGUGUAGCGGUGAAAUGCGUAGAGAUCUGAAGGAAUACCGGUGGCGAAGGCGGCCCCCUGGACAGAUACUGACACUCAGAUGCGAAAGCGUGGGGAGCAAACAGGAUUAGAUACCCUGGUAGUCCACGCCGUAAACGAUGUCUACUUGGAGGUUGUGGCCUUGAGCCGUGGCUUUCGGAGCUAACGCGUUAAGUAGACCGCCUGGGGAGUACGGUCGCAAGAUUAAAACUCAAAUGAAUUGACGGGGGCCCGCACAAGCGGUGGAGCAUGUGGUUUAAUUCGAUGCAACGCGAAGAACCUUACCUACUCUUGACAUCCAGAGAACUUUCCAGAGAUGGAUUGGUGCCUUCGGGAACUCUGAGACAGGUGCUGCAUGGCUGUCGUCAGCUCGUGUUGUGAAAUGUUGGGUUAAGUCCCGCAACGAGCGCAACCCUUAUCCUUGUUUG